rnacentral:rRNA from 1 species
GAUGAACGCUGGCGGCGUGCCUAAUACAUGCCAGUCGAGCCAACAGACGAGGAGCUUGCUCCUCUGACGUUAGCGGCGGACGGGUGAGUAACACGUGGAUAACCUACCUAUAAGACUGGGAUAACUUCGGGAAACCGGAGCUAAUACCGGAUAAUAUAUUGAACCGCAUGGUUCAAUAGUGAAAGACGGUUUUGCUGUCACUUAUAGAUGGAUCCGCGCCGCAUUAGCUAGUUGGUAAGGUAACGGCUUACCAAGGCGACGAUGCGUAGCCGACCUGAGAGGGUGAUCGGCCACACUGGAACUGAGACACGGUCCAGACUCCUACGGGAGGCAGCAGUAGGGAAUCUUCCGCAAUGGGCGAAAGCCUGACGGAGCAACGCCGCGUGAGUGAUGAAGGUCUUCGGAUCGUAAAACUCUGUUAUUAGGGAAGAACAAAUGUGUAAGUAACUAUGCACGUCUUGACGGUACCUAAUCAGAAAGCCACGGCUAACUACGUG